UUGCAGACUCUGCUGACUAAUUGUGCGCCAAACGUGACAAUACCCGAGGCAGCUCUGGCAGCUCUACAUGGUCCUGAGACUCCGGGAUCAGCUGUGUCAGAACCAUGUUUUUGGGGCUACUACUCCUGCUACACAUAGCCCGGUCACCUCGCGUGACAGUGAUACUCCUGGCACUUCCUGUCAGUGAUGUACGUGACGGUGAGCUUGCACCACACCGAUGUGUCGUCUUUAUGUUCAUCGUUUUGUAUCUUCGACAUUGUGUAUCCAUGCUACGUAUGAGAUGGACUUUGUGUGCGAGUUGAGUGUCAUGACUAUGUUGGAUGUCAUGUAUGGACCUUGUGAUGUAAUGAAUGAACAAUGGACUAUGUGUUUGUUUAAUUGUUGGGAUGUCCAGAAAAAAAAAUUAUAUGCCGAGUGCAAUUUAUUA